rnacentral:misc_RNA from 1 species
GAGAGAGAGAGAGAGAGAGCAUAUUUGAAUUUUAUAAUAUGUUCUUCUUUGGGUUGAUCAUUUUCCUGUAAAUGCCAAGAAACAUUGAGAUGCCUGAAUUGUGGUUAAACACGUAGUUGAGUUGAAAUAUUCUUUGUAGAUGGUUUACUGUUAGGCCAUCUACUUCUUUAUUGCAGAUAUGAAUUUUAGCAAAUUAGUUACGAAAAUUAUUGCUUCGC